GGGCGGACGUGACAUCACUACCUACAGCUGUGUGAGGUCACAGGGGGGGGGGGGACGUGACAUCACUACAGCUGUGUGAGGUCACAGGGGCGGACGUGACAUCACUACAGCUGCGUGAGGUCACAGGGGGGACGUGACAUCACUACAGCUGUGUGAAGUCACACUGAUGACAACACAGCUUUAGUGUCAAAAUGAAACAAAGUGAAAUAAUGAAAAUGAGCUGGUUAUUGAUUAAAAUCACAUGAAACAUGA